GAAACAUCCUAUCCCCAGUCAGAGCUGUAACAGAAGGAAGGAGUGAAAGGGAUCAGUACGAGUGCUUACAGCUGAAGCCCUCUCAACGAAUUCCGUUCACAUUGAUGCAGACUCUGAAAACUCCAGUCCAACACACGCCACAGUCACAAAGGCAGGUGCAGUCCUCUUCAAAACCUGGAAUGGGAUGGCUUCAGUUCUCAGAGAGAAGCAAAGUUCAUCAGAGCUACGGAAGCACGGGCAAGGGAAGCAGGUACAGACCAGCUGGGAGGUAAUCACAGCUGUAUGCAGACACCACGUGCUGAAUAACAAGCAUGUCUACCAGAACUCAGGAUUCAGGACAAAGAAAAGGCAUUGAUACUUGGCUGAUUGCACUAAAUAGAACAAUAAAUAUAAGGCCAAAUUAUAAACUUAUAUGGGGUGAAAGAAAUGGAAGAUUUUUCCCAUGUGCCCUCCCUCAUGCCUCAGGACAGCUCUCCUGGAUCAAAAGAUGCAAACUAUAUCAUCAAUCAAGGUAUGUCACUAAACGAGCAAGGAGGAAAGCACAGAAUUUAGGGAAGAACCUCAUUUUAGUGGGCAGUAAUCGAAGCUGUAAGUAGUGCAGAAAUGUUAUUCUUGUUCUUCAGUAAGUUAAGUACAACUAUAGGACAGGAAAUGUGGAGAACAGCAGAUGAGAC
rnacentral:lncRNA from 1 species